UUGUCACCAAGCAGGUUCCCCCUAGGCAGAGCGCCAAGAAGCAGCCCAGGCGAUCCCAAGGCGCACAAGUGCUCUCACCAGGCUGCGCGCUGGCGGGUCGGUGCACAGGGACGGGGUCGCCGCCCACGCGCGCUUGGUUCAGGGAGCCCAGGCUGUCCCUACCCGCGGCUACAAAAGCUCGCCGAGUCUUCCUGUCCACCCAAUCGCCCCACAUGUCAGCGGUUGGUCGCCUCGCGGUGCAGUGCUGGGCACGCGAGCCCCUCCCGCAGUCAUUCUCAGCACAAGCACCAGCCUGGAGCCCCGCAGCGACAGAGCUGAGAGCCCCCAAGCCGCAGAGGUCGUGCGGAGCAGGCCUAAGGCAAUAGCUAAUUGAGACUAUGCAUCACUAUUAAGGCAUCUUCACUAAAGGGCGCUGUGGAAACGCUGCCUGAGAUGCAGACACCUGUCAGAAGGGGGCUAAAUUUCAAACAAGGAACGUGGUGUUGCAUCACAAUAAAGUGACUGAGUUCAAUAUGAUUAGAGCUGAACCAUUUCAAAAAGCAGCACAAGUGGCGACUGCCAGUAACCGAUAAUAACCGAGUUUAAUCCCCCUCUUCUGCUCCUUCCCUCUGAUGGAAUUCUCAUUUUCCCUGGCCUCCCCCAUUGACAUUCAUCCAAUGCCCAUGCUGCUGGAUCAGUCUUCCUGGAGCCAUAUCUAACUUAGAAAGAUGAAGGACUUCCAACCUUUUGGGAGAUGACAAUGUGUUAUCAAAAUCAACAAACUAAUAGAUUGACUUCCUUUGCAUAUUUUUGCAAUGUUCUGUGAGAUAUCAAGUCACUUCCCUGGUAGUUUCUUAUUCAGUAUUUCACUGUACUGCUUUAAAAAAAAAAAAAAGUCAGGCCUCAACCCUAACAGAGUCACUUGGAGAUCUUGUUAAAAAGUUGAGUUUAGAGUCUGAUACAGGUUUUGAGAUGGCCCUGAGAACUUAGGUUUUUUCAUAGGCUCUCUGGGCAACUUUUAUGGGGCAGAGGUUUAGAAAGCUAGGAGUAAGCUGCCAGGUAUCAGGAAACCACUAGAUGGCAGGGCCAUCCCUUGGAGCCCGUUCUUCAAUCAAGAAAGUGGUCAGAGAGGAAAGUGGAGUGGGGAAGAGUCCAAGUACACAUGUUAAAUGCACGUUAAUAAGUGGAUGGUGAAGAUGAGCUUAGGUGUUGGGUCCUAGCGGGAGAGUGGGAAGGAUUCCUGUCACUUCUCACCUCUUUCUAGCUUUAUCUCCAGUAUUUGAAAUGCCUGGAGGAUCCUUAACUGAAACUCUCCACUAGUCAACUGUGCUGUACUAUAGCACAACCACUUUAAAAAGGUGAAAGUAGGAAAACUAGCUCAAUGAGAGGGCUAAUAUUUUUAUGGGGCCAAUGAUUUGAAUUGGUAGACAUAUAUGCCCUCCUACAUGAUAUAGGAGAUAGAGUGCAAAAAUCAAACCAAAGUGUUUUUUCCUACCCUCACUCACCACACACUACUCCUCACAUGCCAAGCAAGCAAGCAAGCAAGCAAUUUUUCUGCAGAUUCUGCAGUGCACACCAGCUGGGUGUCCUCUAAUUCAACUCAACUCUUACACUAGCUAUCUAGAGAUACUGUCAGAUCCCACAGGUUAAGGGCUCAGUCCCACAAGACUGUCCCCCACUUCAGAGGCCAGUUAUAAGACUGAAUUGCCAGAACUUCUGAUCCACUGGCUACAAAUUGGGGCUCCCAAGACCCUGCCCAGGGGUUCAAUUAAUUUGUUACAGUGGCUCACAGAGCUCAGGGCAAUACUUUACUUACAUUUACUGGUUUAUUAGUUAGAGAUAUAAUAAAGGAUGCAGAUGAACAGCCAGAUGGAAAGAUACUCAGGGAGCUAUCUGGAAUGGUCCCAGCACUGGAGCUCCUGUCCCUGUGGAGUUAGGGUGCACACACUCCCAGCAUGUGGAUGUAUUUGCAAACCUGGAACCUCUCUGAACCCUGUCCUUUUGGUUUUAUAGAAGCUUUAAUUUGUAGGCAUGAUUGAUUACAUCACUGGCCGUUAGUGAUCAACUCCAUUUUCAGCCCUCCUCCCUAUCUGCUGGUUAUGGGGUGGAGCUGAAAAUCCUAACUUUCCAAUCCAGCCUUGGUUUUUACUGUGACCCACUCCUAACCUGAAGCUAUCCAGGGGCCCUCAGCUACCAGUCACCUCAUUAACAUAUAAAGG
rnacentral:lncRNA from 1 species